rnacentral:rRNA from 1 species
CGUGUAGGCGGUUGGUCAAGUCGGGUGUGAAAGCCUGGGGCUCAGCCCCAGAAGUGCAUCCGAAACUAGCCAGCUGGAGCGCGAUAGAGGAGGGUGGAAUUCCUGGUGUAGCGGUGAAAUGCGUAGAUAUCAGGAGGAACACCGGCGGCGAAGGCGGCCCUCUGGAUCGUUGCUGACGCUGAGACGCGAAAGCGUGGGGAGCAAACAGGAUUAGAUACCCUGGUAGUCCACGCCUUAAACGAUGGGUACUAGGUGUUCGGGGUGUUGACCCCCUGAGUGCCGCAGUUAACGCAUUAAGUACCCCGCCUGGGGACUACGGCCGCAAGGUUAA